rnacentral:misc_RNA from 1 species
CAACCCUCGAGCCCCAGUGGCCCGGUGUUGGGGAUCUACGUCUGUAGGCCCUUAAAAGCAGUGGCGGACCCGCGUGGCCCUUCCUUGCGUAGUAGUUACAGCUCGCAUCGGAGUCCCGCAAGGCGCUUGCCUCUAAACCCCCUACAAGCCCGCCUCGUGCGGCAAC